rnacentral:misc_RNA from 1 species
UCCGGUUUGUCACCGGCGGUCUCGCAUGAGUCCCCAACUAAAUGCUGGCAACAUGCGACAGGGGUUGCGCUCGUUGCGGGGCUUAACCCAACAUCUCACGACACGAGCUGACGACAGCCAUGCACCACCUGUGAUCGAGUCCCGAAGGAGGACCGAAUUUCUCCGGCUUUCUCGACCAUGUCAAGCCCUGGUAAGGUUCUUGGCGUCGCAUCCAAUUAAACCACAUGCUCCGCUGCUUGUGCGGGCCCCCGUCAAUUCCUUUGAGCUUUAGCCUUGCGGCCGUACUCCCCAGGCGGGGCACUUAAUGCGUUAGCUUCGGCACGGAGGGAGUCGACACCCCCCACACCUAGUGCCCAUCGUUUACAGCGUGGACUAC